UUGGAGGGCAAGUCUGGUGCCAGCAGCCGCGGUAAUUCCAGCUCCAAUAGCGUAUAUUAAAGUUGUUGCAGUUAAAAAGCUCGUAGUUGAAUUUCGGGGUUCUACCGUUGGUCGGGCUUUGUCUGUACUGGUGUGUAGAAUUUCUACCUUCUGGGGAACCAUCAUGCUAUUAAUUUAGCGUGGUGGGAAACCAGGACCUUUACCUUGAAAAAAUUAGUGUGUUCAAAGCAGGCUUAUGUCUGAAUACAUUAGCGUGGAAUAAUAGAAUAGGACGGUGGUCCUGUUUUGUUGGUUUCUGAAUCACCGUAAUGAUUAAUAGGGAUAGUUGGGGGCAUUAGUAUUCAAUUGUCAGAGGUGAAAUUCUUGGAUUUAUUGAAGACUAACUAUUGCGAAAGCAUUUGCCAAGGAUGUUUUCAUUAAUCAAGAACGAAAGUUAGGGGAUCGAAGACGAUCAGAUACCGUCGUAGUCUUAACCAUAAACUAUGCCGACUAGGGAUCGGAUGAUGUUAAUUUUUUAAUGACUCAUUCGGCGCCUUACGGGAAAC
rnacentral:rRNA from 1 species